rnacentral:rRNA from 1 species
UUCCGUUGGUGAAACCAGCGGAGGGAUCAUUACCGAGUUUACAACUCCCAAACCCCUGUGAACAUACCACUUGUUGCCUCGGCGGAUCAGCCCGCUCCCGGUAAAACGGGACGGCCCGCCAGAGGACCCCUAAACUCUGUUUCUAUAUGUAACUUCUGAGUAAAACCAUAAAUAAAUCAAAACUUUCAACAACGGAUCUCUUGGUUCUGGCAUCGAUGAAGAACGCAGCAAAAUGCGAUAAGUAAUGUGAAUUGCAGAAUUCAGUGAAUCAUCGAAUCUUUGAACGCACAUUGCGCCCGCCAGUAUUCUGGCGGGCAUGCCUGUUCGAGCGUCAUUUCAACCCUCAAGCACAGCUUGGUGUUGGGACUCGCGUUAAUUCGCGUUCCUCAAAUUGAUUGGCGGUCACGUCGAGCUUCCAUAGCGUAGUAGUAAAACCCUCGUUACUGGUAAUCGUCGCGGCCACGCCGUUAAACCCCAACUUCUGAAUGUUGACCUCGGAUCAGGUAGGAAUACCCGCUGAACUUAAGCAUAUCAUUAAGCGGAGGAA